GAUGAACGCUGGCGGCGUGCCUAAUACAUGCAAGUCGAGCGAACAGACGAGGAGCUUGCUCCUCUGACGUUAGCGGCGGACGGGUGAGUAACACGUGGAUAACCUACCUAUAAGACUGGGAUAACUUCGGGAAACCGGAGCUAAUACCGGAUAAUAUAUUGAACCGCAUGGUUCAAUAGUGAAAGACGGUUUUGCUGUCACUUAUAGAUGGUUCCGCGCCGCAUUGGCUAGUUGGUAAGGUAAAGGCUUACCAAGGCAACGAUGCGUAGCCGACGUGAGAGGGUGAUCGGCCACACUGGAACGGAGACACGGUCCAGACUCCUACGGGAGGCAGCAGUAGGGAAUCUUCCGCAAUGGGCGAAAGCCUGACGGAGCAACGCCGCGUGAGUGAUGAAGGUCUUCGGAUCGUAAAACUCUGUUAUUAGGGAAGAACAAAUGUGUAAGUAACUAUGCACGUCUUGACGGUACCUAAUCAGAAAGCCACGGCUAACUACGUG
rnacentral:rRNA from 1 species